GACGAACGCUGGCGGCGUGCUUAACACAUGCAAGUCGAGCGGUAAGGCCCUUUCGGGGGUACACGAGCGGCGAACGGGUGAGUAACACGUGGGUGACCUGCCCUCAGCUCUGGGAUAAGCCUGGGAAACCGGGUCUAAUACCGGAUAUGACUCCAUGACGCAUGUUGUGGGGUGGAAAGCCUUGUGCGGCUGAGGAUGGGCCCGCGGCCUAUCAGCUUGUUGGUGGGGUGAUGGCCUACCAAGGCGACGACGGGUAGCCGGCCUGAGAGGGCGACCGGCCACACUGGGACUGAGACACGGCCCAGACUCCUACGGGAGGCAGCAGUGGGGAAUCUUGCGCAAUGGGCGAAAGCCUGACGCAGCGACGCCGCGCGGGGAUGAAGGUCUUCGGAUUGU
rnacentral:rRNA from 1 species